UACGUAGGGUGCGAGCGUUGUCCGGAAUUAUUGGGCGUAAAGGGCUCGUAGGCGGUUUGUCGCGUCGGGAGUGAAAACCCAGGGCUUAACUCUGGGCUUGCUUUCGAUACGGGCAGACUAGAGGUAUGCAGGGGAGAACGGAAUUCCUGGUGUAGCGGGUGAAAUGCGCAGAUAAUCAGGAGGAACACCGGUGGCGAAGGCGGUUCUCUGGGCAUUACCUGACGCUGAGGAGCGAAAGUGUGGGGAGCGAACAGG
rnacentral:rRNA from 1 species